AAAAACCGACACAGGUAGGCAGGGUGAGAAUCCCAAGGCGCUUGAGAGAACUCGGGUGAAGGAACUAGGCAAAAUGGCACCGUAACUUCGGGAGAAGGUGCGCCCUUUGGUGUGGUCACGUGCGUGACUGAGCAUUGAAGGGUCGCAGUAACCUGGCCGCUGCGACUGUUUAUCAAAAACACAGCACUCUGCAAACACGAAAGUGGACGUAUAGGGUGUGACGCCUGCCCGGUGCUGGAAGGUUAAUUGAUGGGGUCAGCCGCAAGGCGAAGCUCUUGAUCGAAGCCCCAGUAAACGGCGGCCGUAACAAUAACGGUCCUAAGGUAGCGAAAUUCCUUGUCGGGUAAGUUCCGACCUGCACGAAUGGCGUAACGACAGCGGCGCUGUCUCCACCCGAGACUCAGUGAAAUUGAAAUCGCUGUGAAGAUGCAGCGUUCCCGCGGCAAGACGGAAAGACCCCGUGAACCUUUACUAUAGCUUUACACUGAACGUUGAGUUCUUCUGUGUAGGAUAGGUGGGAGGCUAUGAAACCAGGACGCUAGUUCUGGUGGAGCCAUCCUUGAAAUACCACCCUGAAGUGCUUGACGUUCUAACCUAGGCCCGUAAUCCGGGUCAGGGACCGUGUAUGGUGGGUAGUUUGACUGGGGCGGUCUCCUCCCAAAGAGUAACGGAGGAGCACGAAGGUACGCUCAGCGCGGUCGGACAUCGCGCACUGUGUGCAAAGGCAUAAGCGUGCUUGACUGCGAGAUCGACGGAUCAAGCAGGUACGAAAGUAGGUCUUAGUGAUCCGGUGGUUCUGUAUGGAAGGGCCAUCGCUCAACGGAUAAAAGGUACUCCGGGGAUAACAGGCUGAUACCGCCCAAGAGUUCAUAUCGACGGCGGUGUUUGGCACCUCGAUGUCGGCUCAUCACAUCCUGGGGCUGUAGCCGGUCCCAAGGGUAUGGCUGUUCGCCAUUUAAAGUGGUACGCGAGCUGGGUUCAGAACGUCGUGAGACAGUUCGGUCCCUAUCUGUCGUGGGCGUUGGAGAUUUGAGGGGGGCUGCUCCUAGUACGAGAGGACCGGAGUGGACGUUCCGCUGGUGUUCGGGUUGUCAUGCCCAUGGCAUUGCCCGGUAGCUACGAACGGAAGUGAUAACCGCUGAAAGCAUCUAAGCGGGAAGCACGCCCCAAGAUGAGAUCUCCCGAGAGCUUGACUCUCCUAAAGGCACCAUCAAGACUAGGUGGUUGAUAGGUCAGGUGUGGAAGCGCAGCAAUGCGUUGAGCUAACUGAUACUAAUGAGCCGUGAGGCUUGACU
rnacentral:rRNA from 1 species